GCCUGGCUGGCUCAGUCAGUAAAGCAAGUGAUUCUUGAUCCCAGAGUCAUGAGUUUGAGCCCCAUGUUGGGCA
rnacentral:tRNA from 1 species